rnacentral:rRNA from 1 species
GUGCCAGCAGCCGCGGUAAUACGUAAUGUCCGAGCGUUGUCCGAAAUCAUUGGGCGUAAAAGGGUACGUAGGCGGAUAAGCAAGUUAGAAGUUAAAUCCUAUAGCUCAACUAUAGCAAGCUUUUAAAACUGUUCAUCUUGAGGUAUGGAAGGGAAAGUGGAAUUCCUAGUGUAGCGGUGAAAUGCGCAGAUAUUAGGAGGAAUACCGGUGGCGAAGGCGACUUUCUGGCCAUAAACUGACGCUGAGGUACGAAAGCGUGGGUAGCAAACAGGAUUAGAUACCCUGGUAGUCC